AUAAGAAACAAAAGUAAAUUGACACCCACCCCAAUGUAUUCCAUCACAAGUGUGGGUAGUAGGGGACCCUUUGCAUGGACCCUAUUGCAAAUAGAGCUUUUUUAUUGCAUCAUGAUUCAAUGAAACACUUCACAAGGAAAAAGAAAAGAUAAUUGAAUAGGGAAAGUUGAUGAUAUAAUUUCAUAUCCCUUGUAGUUCAAAGAAUCAUAUUUCUAAUUCCAAAAGUGAUCAAAAUGUUGUUGUGGUGGGGGAAUUAAAAAAAGUACAUUUUUCAUACCCGUGACUUAGAAAGAAAGAAAAACUUGAGUUUGCAUAUUAUUAUUGAUCUUAAUCUUAAAUCAUUGUAUAUGUGACAUUUCUAUAAUAUCAUUUGUGAAAAUUCUUCUUCUAUAAACUUCAAGCCCUUUGAGACCCUUUUUCAAGGUAUUGAAGAUGACAACAAAGGAUAUGAAAGUUGAAUUUUCAUCAAGAAAUGAUGUGAUUCAAGGUGGUAUUUUGAGACAACAAAGUAUGAACAAGAACAAUUGUUUAUGCUCUCCAACAACACAUGCUGGUUCAUUUAGGUGUAGGCUACAUCGUACACCUAGCCUCUUAAGGACAAAAAGCAUGGACUCAUCAUCAUCAUCAUCUACUCAUGCUUCCGUUGUUCAUGCUAAUGGUGAUGCUAACAAGGAUUAGAUAAUAUAGAUUAGUUGAGUUGAAUGUUAAUUAUCAUGCUACUUACGUCAACUGUUUACUUGUGUUAUAUUUAGUGCAUGUUUAGACUGACAGUGACUUUAGCUGAUCACAAUGUGUCGUCGUGAUUUUGGCUACACAUUUGAAACUUCUCUAAAAUCACGAUGAGACAGUAAUUUCGCUUGACUCGUGUCAGUUCAAACAUUCACUUAUUUUCUUUUUGUUGUUUUGAUAAUUGAUAAAUAGUAGCAUCUUAUGUAAAUAAAAAGCAUCUAAUGGACUUGUAUGGUUGUGAAAAUCUGUCUCCUUAGGUAAUAGUUUGGGAUUCUACACAGUAAUUUUGAUAGGGGUAAAAUCAAUUCUAAUACUGUGUUGUUAUUUGUGUGA